AGCGAACGCUGGCGGCAGGCCUAACACAUGCAAGUCGAACGAACUCUUCGGAGUUAGUGGCGGACGGGUGAGUAACACGUGGGAACGUGCCUCUUGGUUCGGAAUAACUCAGGGAAACUUGUGCUAAUACCGAAUGUGCCCUUCGGGGGAAAGAUUUAUCGCCAUUAGAGCGGCCCGCGUCUGAUUAGCUAGUUGGUGAGGUAACGGCUCACCAAGGCGACGAUCAGUAGCUGGUCUGAGAGGAUGACCAGCCACACUGGGACUGAGACACGGCCCAGACUCCUACGGGAGGCAGCAGUGGGGAAUCUUGCGCAAUGGGCGAAAGCCUGACGCAGCCAUGCCGCGUGAAUGAUGAAGGUCUUAGGAUUGUAAAAUUCUUUCACCGGGGACGAUAAUGACGGUACCCGGAGAAGAAGCCCCGGCUAACUUCGUG
rnacentral:rRNA from 1 species